rnacentral:rRNA from 1 species
AUGCCACUGCCAUCCAAAGAAGAUGGGUCUAAACAAGAUGUGUCUAAACAAGACGUGCUGCUCUUUGAAGAACCAAUAAAAAAGAGGAAGACCCCCAGAGCCUGCAAAGACCCAGACGCAGUAGAGUGCGACACGAGCUCUCAGGAUAACAUGAUUGCACAGCUUGACUUCUAUACUGAGCGUUUAUCCGCUGGAUGGGUGAAGGAAACCUACUUCAGACCAGACAAGAAAAAUAAGAAAGACACGUAUUUUACCGCCCCUUCUAGUUCUGAGUAUCUCGUGUUCCGUACAAAGAAGGAUGCAAUGAAAUACUUCUGGACUGGAGAACGUCCUAAAGAUUCUUGGAAACCGACAAAUAGUGUCACCAAGAAGUACAAAGACUUGCUUGUUACAGAUACAGAUGAAAAAGACCUAGAUGGUCAACAUGAGCCCAAGGAAAAGAAGCCUAAGACUACAAGCACCGAAGCCGACGAGGCCAUGACCUGCUCAUAG